ensembl:lincRNA
AUGGGGUCACCAGGGUGGGAGGCUCAUGAAUGGGAUUGUUUCCUUACAAGAGUCACAAGACAGCCUGCUUUCUCUCUCUGCUCUCGGCCAUGUGAGGACACAAGUGGGCAGUUUGUAGCCCAGAAGAGGGGCCUCACCAGGACCCACGCUGGCACCCGAUCUCAAACCUCCAGCCUCCAGAACCACUGUUCCUUGAGAACCAGGAGCACCAACCUCUUCCAUCUGAGUCCAACCCUAGGACCAGCUAUUGGAGAAAGAAAACCAACUCACCUGACUACACUUCUACCAUGGAAGAGACCUACAUCCCAUGACCAAUCAAUGUAGGUGAUACAAAGCCCUCUCCCCUUGCCUCAGUUAGGGAUAUCUCAAAAGGGUCAACCCAGCUUCAGAGUUCCUUGUGAAAUUGUCUUAGGCACCUUGGGCACCUGUAUUGCCUUUCUUCCCUCCCCGUUGUCCUGUCCUGCUUCUUUCACUCCCUUGGAGUUGGUGUUCUGUGGAGCACUUCCAAAUAAGCCAUUGGGAUGCAGAUCUCCAUCUGGAAAUCUGUUUCCUGGGAAGCCCAACCUUUGACACACAAUGAAGAGACCUGAGGCUACAUAAAUGUACUUUGGCUUAUCUCAGUCUUCUCUCUGACGCAUGAGUUUAAAUCAAAUGGCAGGAAUGGUACGUUGAAGAAAAGAAACUAGAGAUAGCAUAGGGAAAAGAUGAGAGGUUUGGAACCUUGUAGUAAGAGCAAAACACAGGUCAGCGGACAUAAUCCAUAAUGGGCCAAGCAGUACUCUGAGCCUUAUAAAGAGAGAAAGAUGGAGGUCAUCCAGGAAAUUAUUGAGGGGACUGGAAGAGAGUAACAGUGAGCCGCUCUAUGGACCAGCUUGUGGAAGAAGGAAAUUCCUAGGUUAACUUCACACUAAAACUGAAUGCACAGUUGCUAAUCAGCCUGCAGGGUCUCGGUGGGUUUUUAUUUCCUGCGAGUCUGCCUAUUUUUGCAGUGUGAAGGAUUCUGGAUUAUCUUGGUGGGAGGAUUUUGGGUCCAUACUACAAAGGUAGGUGUAGGGAGGAAAGGCAGCUGGCGGGGAAGUAAGUAGAUGGGAUUUUUAGUUUCUGUUUUGUUUGUACAAGUUAGGAUGACUUAACCCUUGCUAAUAUCAUACUUUCUUGGGUUCAUUGUAUUCAGAGUGAAUUUUGAACAAAUCACUUAAUGUCUAAGAUCUUUUGUUUCUAUGUCUGUUGAAGUGGU